CAUAAAAAAAUUUCAGCUUUAUGCUAGAAAAAGUUCUGAAGGAAAUAACUGCUAUAAUGCUUUCAUUUCAGAGGUAUUACUUUUAUACUGUGUUGGUCCGUAAUAGUACGCCUAUACAUGGAAGGUGCGGAAGAUUUAAUGACACAUAAAAUGCUGAGGUGACUGGGAAAGCAGAAUGCCCAGCUGAAAAUACCUUGAAUGGUAUUUCCUGGAAGAUGCUUGCAUUAGCGGUGAUCCUCAUUUCUAUGGCAAGACACGAAACCCCUUCAGAAAUCAUUUAUCUGAGACCUUGGGGCUACAGACUUCAAAGCUCUGAAUUUCCAUUUACUCCAAAGGGAAGUCAACAAUCUUCAGAGUAAGUAAGAAUCAGACCUUGAACCCCACUAGGUAUGGCCCUCACACAUGGAAUUUCCACACUUCUAUAGUGUGUUCCUGAGCUUCGUUCUUCUCAUUCAAAUUCCUCUUCAAGAUCCUAGGUGCCGGUGCAUUUUUAGACCUCUCUCACACCUGAUCUCUCUUAUCUGACUUUGAGAACUAGCAGUUCACUAUAUUCCCUUUCUUAUGGUUUAAACAAGGAAGCUCCGGAUCCACAGUCCUCAAAAGUUUAUCUGCAACUUUCAUUCUAUUUCUGUACUUCAUUCUGUAUUCAACACCUUUUUUUUCUCGUUAUAUUUGUCUUUGAUCCUGGCUCAAGGCUCUCACAGUCUGUUUUACUUGGCUGUGAAGAACCAUACCCAUAUGUAGUGCUGAGGCUGGAAGAAACUACAGAGCUGUAGCUGGAGUGAGGCUGGAAAGGGUCUGCCAAAGCAAACUUAAGGCUGCCAGAAGAAUUCUCCUCUGAAGAACACUGUGUUUCUCAAUAGUGCCUGGCUUAUAGCUCAAACUAUGGUUAGGAUUAGCACAGCGAAAAAGGGAAAGCCUGAAAUGCAGCAGGGAUUGAGCUGGAAAAGGCCUGGCAAAGAGAAAUAGGGCUGCCAAAAGAAAUUUUCUCCCAACAAUAUUAAGGCUCUGGACUGUACAGUAUCACUGGCCUUUGGUUCAGCAUCAGGCUUACAGUUAGGGAUGGAGAGAAAUUUUAUUUUUUUUUUUUAAUUUAAAAAGCCAAAGCUUCAGCUGGCACGGUGCUGCUAAAGGAAAACAAGGACUGCAAACGGAAAAUCCCUCGGGAAAUCCAUACUCUAGGCACGUGCUGCAGUGGUUUUUCAAGGGCUAGCGAUAGGGUAGUUUUAGGAAUAGGGAUAGGGCUGGAAAAAGCUCAAAGUUCCAGUUGGACUGAGGCUGGAAGAAACUGCUAAUGAAGCUGCCAAAUGGAGGGUUCAGUCCUGGAAGGGCUAGAGCACCCACAGAAGGCUCCGCUUG
rnacentral:lncRNA from 1 species